GUGCUCGCUUCGGCAGCAUGUAUACUAAAAUUGGGCCGACACAGAGAAGAUUAGCAUGGCCCCUGCACAAGAAAAAAAAAAAAAAAAAGAGUAGAGAUGAAGUGCUUU